rnacentral:rRNA from 1 species
CCUACGGGCGGCAGCAGUGGGGAAUAUUGCACAAUGGGGGAAACCCUGAUGCAGCGACGCCGCGUGAGUGAAGAAGUAAUUCGUUAUGUAAAGCUCUAUCAGCAGGGAAGAAAAUGACGGUACCUGUGUAAGACGCCCCGGCUAACUACGUGCCAGCAGCCGCGGUAAUACGGAGGGGGCAAGCGUUAUCCGGAUUUACUGGGUGUAAAGGGAGCGUAGACGGCAGUACAAGUCUGGAGUGAAAGGCGGGGGCUCAACCCCGGGACUGCUCUGGAAACUGUACGGCUGGAGUGCAGGAGAGGUAAGUGGAAUUCCUAGUGUAGCGGUGAAAUGCGUAGAGAUUAGGAGGAACACCAGUGGCGAAGGCAGCUUACUGGACUGUAACUGACGUUGAGGCUCGAAAGCGUGGGGAGCAAACAGGAUUAGAUACCCCUGUAGUC